UAAGUAAAUGUAGGGAAGAAUGAAAGUAUUGGAUUUCUGUACACGCUAAAUUUAAAUUUGAGAAAAGAAUUCCUAUGCGGAGUCAAAUUCCAUUCCAUGCAAUCUUCGUGUGAACUUGGCAAGCAGUAACUAAACAUUCGCAAAAGUUCAAUCCUAGGGUCAGCUUAAUGGAGUUAAAAAAAGCAUGGUAAUGCAUGAAAAGGGUUGGUAGAGCGUGCAAAUCAAAGAGACCGCAUCAAUGGAUAUACCUUCAAGUCUAUCCUCCUCGCUCAAAGACGAUUUCGUAACUUUAGCCAUGCUUAUGCGACUUCGUUUUCGGAGGGCCUGAAUCACAUCACCAGAAACAGACUGUGUUGUUUUUAGUUGUUAUCAAGUUCAAGAGUUGUUCGACAACUAAUAUAACAUAACAAGUCUGAGCAUGAUGCGCAAUUAUAAACAUGAACAGUAUGAAAGUUUUUUUCAAUAAAAAAAAGAACAAUGUUCUCCGGAUGACUUGAGAGCCAUGAUCAAAAAAUGAAUAAAACCAAACUCCAGGGA